AUAAAACAUUUAAGUGCAUCACAAAUUAAACGGUUUGCUAUUGAUCUCGUCUUGAUCGUUUAACACAUGAAAUUGAUGACAUGCUGAUAUAUUUUGUACAUUUAGGUUCUCCGCGUCCUCUUCAUCAAAUGAAGACGAAUUUCACGAGCGGUUGUAUGAUACAGCGACACUCAAUUUUACAGCGAUAGCAUAUCCAGAACCCGGAAUGGAUGGUUUCGUCUGGCACAAACAAAAAAGUUUCACGUGGAUACCGCUACUGAGUAACGCUGACAUAGUUAUCCUCUCAUCAGGUCUUCAUACAAGACUGACUAUUAAAAACGUAUCGAGGUCCGACUUUGGCCAUUAUCGUGUUACUGUGACAAAUGAAAUAGGCAAAUAUGAGCAGUACAUUUUCUUAACUGAAACAGAGCAACAAAAAAUACCAACUGAGACCAUUCUUCCCUCAAAAAAGACGUUGGAAAGCACAGGACUAAUUAUUAGUGUAACUCUCGGCAUUCUGUUUGUCACAGUUACGAUAAAUGCUAUAAGCAUGUCAAUUUACUUCAAACGAAAACUGAUACUUCUAGUUGAACAAUUUUACUACUUAAAAAUAUUCUCGAUAAAGUUUUUUUUUUAAAAAAAAAUAUACAUGUAUAUAUAAUUUUUAAAAAGUUUACUCGCAAAACUUCCAAACAAAUGAUAACAUGCUAGUCCAGCAAUGAAUAAUUUGAACAAUUGUGGUUUACCAUAUCGUUUAAUUCAGUACAAAUUGCAUGCUAUUAAGCUCUCUUAUUCACAGACGCUUUGUAUCUUUUUGUUUUAAUUUUGUUUAUAUACAGGUUAACAUUCAUUAAGCAGUCAUUAAAGAUCCUUUAGCCGCCAUUAGUUGUUUAACUAUUCGUUCUGUAAUAUAUUUUUAAGUCCCCUGAAGGUAAAUGUAGACUAACAUUUAAGCAACAAACUUGAUUUUAUAAUAGUACGAAAUAUAUAAAAUAAUACACAUUGUUAUAAAAUAAUACACAUGUAAUUGCAUAAAAAUGCCAGAAAACUAUUUGAUUAUUUUUUAUUUUUUGUUAUCUCAAGACGCACAGACAUCUACACAGCCAAGUCAAAGAACAAUCGCAAAUCUGAGUUUCCAAACUGUCAAUACAGAUGAAGAUUAUUCUAGGCCAUCAACAAAUGCUACUUCUGCUGUGACCAACGACAACGAAUAUUCUGUUCAGAAUUAUACAGAUUUGCAUGAACUCUCAAAUGACAACCAAAGGACAUAUGAUGUUAUUCAAUAAUACUUAAAUUGUUUCAUCUAUCUUUCAAAGACAAUAGCAUUUAGCAAUCUUUCAAAAUCGUUGGAAGAGUUGAAUUUUCCUAGGACAAAAGUAUUAUUAUUAUGAGUUGACUCUUUUGUUUAUGAGUAAAUGCAUAUAUUCACAAUUUAUAGCCUUAACUUUUGGCAAUUAAUAUUGAGAUCAUUCACAAGUAGAGAACAAAAUAAUGGAGACUGCGUAUACCCCUAUCCAGAGCAACAUUACUGUUACUGGUACUGCAGUAAUUUUGCAAGUAUUGGUACUGAUACUUAAUUAACUGGUAUUGAUAAUGCAUUACUGUCUUAAAAAGUAGUACUGUAUAACAGUGCAUUACUUUGGUUUUGAUAAAAAUGUCAUCAGUUUGUCUCAAAAAAUAAAAACACACUGUAAAUUCCAUGUAUUUUUUUAUUUUUGUGAAAAAGUAAGUUUUCAAAUCUUACCUAUAACUAUAGAAAACCAGAACUUAAGAAUGUGCAUAACAUGGAAAUUAAGCAUAGAGAAAUCAUAUUACAUAAAUGAAUUAUGUAUUUUUUUUAUAUUUUUUUAUUUAUUUUUUAUUAUUUUUUCAUGUUUUGAAAUUUAUGUAACUGUUUAAAGCAAUCAGUUGUCGAAACGGAUUCAUCGUUUUAUGGUAACUGACAUUUAUUGUAGUAGUAUAAAUAUAAAUCAUGCAAAUUAGUUGAACUGUCUUUGAGUUUUAAACAAAUACAAUGACAACAACAACAUAUAUUUUUAUUUACUCAAACAUGCAUACAACAUGUAAUAUGAGCAUAAAUGUCAAACUGUUUAACAAGGCAUUUAUACAAAUUGAAGGAAUAAAUAAAUAAAAGAUAC